CACAGUAUUUGGUAGUGUAGACGUCGAUUUCCCUAGCCCACCUGAGUUUGGAGGAAAACCCUGCCCGAACCACCUACCCGAAGACUCCAACUGACAAUCCCUACAACCUCCUUGAGGAGCCAUUGGCGGAAGAGCAACGAGGGGGCGUGGCCUGCAGUGACGCAUUUCCUGCUGCGCCACUGCGCUUCCGGCGCCUCGACCCUUGCCGCGCUCCUAGGUCUGUCUCCCUGCGCGUCCGGGACCGGCUGUAGUCUCCCGGCCGCCCCGAAUGCCACGGUUUGGUGAACAAUCCUGCCCCAGAGCAUAAUGUACCUGAAAUCAGUUCACUAGAAAUAGUUUCAGCAAAACCUCUGAGAAGAUGAAUACCAGUAUUCUGUAUUUGAAGAAAAACACUUCUGUUUAAGAAUUAGGGAAACUGUUCUGGACAUCUUUCUGGUUCAUGUAUUUUCCAGCAAGGAUGUUUUAGAGAAUGAAUUUCAUUUGCAAAGGAACAGCUCCUACAAGGAUUUGCCAAGAGUUUAUUUUUUGACUUCAAGCUUAGUUACAUGUCUCAGGCUUUCUACAGGAGAUAAUAUACAUCAUGACAAGUGGCAUAAAUAUGAACAACAUUUCAGACCAACUUAAAUGUCCAAAUCCUUAUAGAAAAAGAACUUGGAAGUGUAUUGAAUGUGGAAAACAACUCAAGUCCUCACUUUCUCUUGCCCAACAUCAGAGGAUUCAUUCUGGAGAGAGACCCUAUAACUGUAAAAAACUAAAGCAUGCCAAGGGGCGUGUGCACUCAUGGGCUCUCCGGGUGGCUCUGUCUCACCGCUUGUGUAUAGUGCUCUGGAACCUCUGUGUAUGGGCUGGAUCGGGAAGGCUGUUGGCCAAGGACAGAGGAAGGAAGAAUGAGGACUGAGUUGGUUGCUGAUUA